rnacentral:pre_miRNA from 1 species
GUUUGGCUGUGUGUGGAUAGUGUUCAGCACCAAGGACAGGUGUAUUUGACUGUGUGUGGAUAGUGUUCAGCACCAAGGACAGGUGUAUUUGACU